UAUGUCUAGGAUUAUUGGCGAAAAACCACCUACUUACAAAACAUGGCAAAAAUCACCGCACCGAGAAAUUGACAGUCGUAGAAAACACUAACACGGUGUUCGGAUGUCUGAAUUAGACCCUUCAAAUUGGAUAUGGUAUUGACUACCUGCCAAUUCAGAUGUACCGAAUCGAGCAAACAGAAACGGGCCAGAUACAGAGACGAAUUAGCCUCCACGCGCGCAGCCCUCCCGCGAUACGGAGUCCGAGCCUCCGAUUUGGGUUGAAUUGGCCAAGUCCUGCAAAACAUAACAUUUCGAGACAAGUCUCGCUCGCGACUUGCCUUUCCUCCGCGCGAGACGCAAGCCCCAGCCGGCGGCGACGCAGGUGUUGCUGAUAAGGGGAAGAACAUGGUUAUGUGACUAUUGUAGAUUGUGUGCUAGUCGUAUAGAUUGAAUAUAAUGCAUGGUUAUGUGA